rnacentral:rRNA from 1 species
GUGGGGAAUAUUGGACAAUGGGCGAAAGCCUGAUCCAGCCAUGUCGCGUGUGUGAAGAAGGUCUUCGGAUUGUAAAGCACUUUAAGUUGGGAGGAAGGACAGUAAGUUAAUACCUUGCUGUUUUGACGUUACCGACAGAAUAAGCACCGGCUAACUUCGUGCCAGCAGCCGCGGUAAUACGAAGGGUGCAAGCGUUAAUCGGAAUUACUGGGCGUAAAGCGCGCGUAGGUGGUUUUGUAAGUUGGAGGUGAAAUCCCCGGGCUCAACCUGGGAACUGCCUCCAAAACUGCAUGACUAGAGUACGGUAGAGGGUAGUGGAAUUUCCUGUGUAGCGGUGAAAUGCGUAGAUAUAGGAAGGAACACCAGUGGCGAAGGCGACUACCUGGACUGAUACUGACACUGAGGUGCGAAAGCGUGGGGAGCAAACAGGAUUAGAAACCCUGGUAGUCC